rnacentral:rRNA from 1 species
UACGUAGGGUGCAAGCGUUGUCCGGAAUUAUUGGGCGUAAAGAGCUCGUAGGCGGUCUGUCGCGUCGGCUGUGAAAACCCGGAGCUCAACUCCGGGCCUGCAGUCGAUACGGGCAAACUGGAGUGUUGCAGGGGAGACUGGAAUUCCUGGUGUAGCGGUGAAAUGCGCAGAUAUCAGGAGGAACACCGGUGGCGAAGGCGGGUCUCUGGGCCGGAACUGACGCUAAGGAGCGAAAGCGUGGGGAGCGAACGAGGA